UACGGAGGUGGCAAGCGUUGCUCGGAAUCACUGGGCGUAAAGGGUGCGUAGGCGGCGCGGUAAGUCGGGUGUGAAAUCUCGGAGCUUAACUCCGAAACUGCAUUCGAUACUGCCGUGCUUGAGGACUGGAGAGGAGACUGGAAUUUACGGUGUAGCGGUGAAAUGCGUAGAUAUCGUAAGGAAGACCAGUGGCGAAGGCGGGUCUCUGGACAGUUCCUGACGCUGAGGCACGAAGGCCAGGGGAGCAAACGGG
rnacentral:rRNA from 1 species